CGUGGGGAACCUCGCCCCAUAGUCUGGGAUACCACUUGGAAACAGGUGCUAAUACCGGAUAAGAAAGCGGAUCGCAUGAUCAGCUUUUAAAAGGCGGCGUAAGCUGUCGCUAUGGGAUGGCCCCGCGGUGCAUUAGCUAGUUGGUAAGGUAAAGGCUUACCAAGGCGAUGAUGCAUAGCCGAGUUGAGAGACUGAUCGGCCACAUUGGGACUGAGACACGGCCCAAACUCCUACGGGAGGCAGCAGC
rnacentral:rRNA from 1 species